rnacentral:sRNA from 1 species
CUUCUCAGAAGCCUUCCCUGUUCUCUCCCUCCCUGCACAGAUAAUUGUUUUUCCUGGUUCUGGCCCUUCAUCACUCUGCUGUUGCACCUUCUUCAGUGUCUGUGUUCUGAUCAGACUGUGGGCUACUGGAAUGCAGGCACCAGCUUGAGUCAUCCUUGUGAAUCUGGGGUCUUCUGCCGAGUGGGUGGUUGAUAAGUGUUGGUUGAGUUGACUUGAGCCUCUCCUACAAGAUGACUCGUAAGCCCAGUGUGGGUUUCAGAGACUCCUCCACUCUCUGGGAAUGGCACGGACUCCCUCUUCUGCGACAGUGGCAGCUCGGCAACUAGCGCUCCGUGUGUGUCCCGCCUGGUCGCUGGCCACCAACUGUGGGCCAGCAAGAAUGGCCGCCACGUCCUGGGCCUGAUUGAGGACUAUGAGGCCCUGCUCAAACAGAUCGGCCAGGGACAGAGGCUCCUUGCUGAAAUGGACGUUCAAACCCAAGAGGCUCCCAGCUCCACAAGUCAAGAGCUGGGAACAAAGGGUCCAUACCCAGCACCACUGAGCAAGUUUGUGAGCAGUGUGAGCACAGCCAAGCUGACCCUGGAAGAGGCCUACAGGCGGCUGAAGCUUCUCUGGAGAGUCUCGCUCCCCGAGGAUGGCCAGUGUCCCCUUCACUGUGAGCAGAUUGGAGAAAUGAAGGCAGAGGUCACCAAACUACAUAAAAAAUUGUUUGAACAAGAAAAGAAGUUGCAAAACACCAUGAAGCUUUUGCAGCUGAGCAAGCGCCAGGAAAAAGUCAUCUUUGAUCAGUUGGUUGUAACCCACAAAAUCCUUCGGAAGGCCAGAGGAAACCUGGAGCUUAGGCCUGGGGGAGCCCAUCCAGGAACAUGCAGUCCCAGCAGACCAGGCUCCUGAGAAGAACUUUCAGCCAAUAAAGCUUGUGCUUCCCCCA